rnacentral:rRNA from 1 species
GAUUGAACGCUGGCGGUAUGCUUAACACAUGCAAGUCGAACGGAAACGAUACUAGCUUGCUAGUAGGCGUCGAGUGGCGGACGGGUGAGUAACGCGUAGGAAUCUGCCUGAUAGUGGGGGAUAGCCCGAAGAAAUUCGGAUUAAUACCGCAUAAUCUAUUCGUAGUAAAGUGGGGGACUUUCGAGCCUCACGCUAUCAGAUGAGCCUGCGUAAGAUUAGCUUGUUGGUAGGGUAAAAGCCUACCAAGGCGACGAUCUUUAGCUGGUCUGAGAGGAUGAUCAGCCACAUCGGGACUGAGGCACGGCCCGAACUCCUACGGGAGGCAGCAGUGGGGAAUAUUGGACAAUGGGGGCAACCCUGAUCCAGCAAUACCGCGUGUGUGAAGAAGGCCUGAGGGUUGUAAAGCACUUUCAAUUGUGAAGAAAAGUUAGCGGUUAAUAACCGUUAGCCUUGACGUUAACUUUAGAAGAAGCACCGGCUAACUCCGUGCCAGCAGCCGCGGUAAUACGGAGGGUGCAAGCGUUAAUCGGAAUUACUGGGCGUAAAGCGUGCGUAGGCGGUUUAUUAAGUCAGAUGUGAAAGCCCCGGGCUUAACCUGGGAACUGCAUUUGAAACUGGUCAACUAGAGUAUGGUAGAGGAAAGUGGAAUUUCUGGUGUAGCGGUGAAAUGCGUAGAUAUCAGAAGGAACAUCAAUGGCGAAGGCAGCUUUCUGGACCAAUACUGACGCUGAGGUACGAAAGCGUGGGUAGCAAACAGGAUUAGAUACCCUGGUAGUCCACGCCGUAAACGAUGAUAACUAGCCGUUGGGGGGAUUUACCCUUUAGUGGCGAAGCUAACGCGUUAAGUUAUCCGCCUGGGGAGUACGGCCGCAAGGUUAAAACUCAAAGGAAUUGACGGGGACCCGCACAAGCGGUGGAGCAUGUGGUUUAAUUCGAUGCAACGCGAAGAACCUUACCUGGUCUUGACAUCCUGCGAACUUUCUAGAAAUAGAUUGGUGCCUUCGGGAACGCAGUGACAGGUGCUGCAUGGCUGUCGUCAGCUCGUGUCGUGAGAUGUUGGGUUAAGUCCCGUAACGAGCGCAACCCCUAUCCUUAUUUGCCAGCACAUCAUGGUGGGAACUAUAAGGAGACUGCCGGUGAUAAACCGGAGGAAGGCGGGGACGACGUCAAGUCAUCAUGGCCCUUACGACCAGGGCUACACACGUGCUACAAUGGGAAGGACAAAGAGCCGCGAAGCCGCGAGGUGUAGCUAAUCUCAUAAACCUUUUCGUAGUCCGGAUUGGAGUCUGCAACUCGACUCCAUGAAGUCGGAAUCGCUAGUAAUCGUAGAUCAGAAUGCUACGGUGAAUACGUUCCCGGGUCUUGUACACACCGCCCGUCAA